CUUGACUUGGGCUCAGCCUACUUAUGGCCUAGUCCUCCAAUUGUUUGUAGCCCUUGCCUAGAUCAUUAAGUGCUUGUGAUAUUGUAGCCUUUUGUUCAUGAUUUACUUUGUUCUUAAUUCGGCUCGUUUUUUGACCUUGUUUGCUUCCUGCCCUGACCUCAGCUAAUCUGACUUUCCUGUCCAUGGUAAUCCUGACCUUGGCCUGUUUUGUGGUUUUGCC